AGGGAAAAAAAAAAAAAAAAAAAAAAACCACGUGCUUCCGAAUAACACGGAUGCGUUUUUUAUGAGUCCGUUCCAACUGGAAAUGGACGCAUCAUGCUAACCUGCGACCGCGGUGGAGCAGUAGCGCGAACUUCCUGCGCGAUCGAGGCCACGCGGAGAAUCCCAGGCGCGAGUCUCCUCCAACGGGAUCAUGCCAUCGGAGACUCCGAUGAGAAUUUGGAGUCUUGACUCGACUGAAUCAGAAGAUGCACCACAGCUCACGUUCACGCCCAGGGAUGUCGCACGCCAUUCCAGAUGAGCCAUUGCGACGAGAGGAGACGGAGAAGGAAGCCCAGAGCACGUACACCGAGCACGAGACAACGACAACCUCGCCCAGCCCCGACCAAACCCGAAAAUCCCCCCUCGUCGUACCAGUUCCCAGUUCCUCCCUUUUCUCCCCUUCCUUCCCUGUGAUCCAGUGCGCUGUUGGUCUGUCUCCCGGGACCAAUAAAAGAACACAA